rnacentral:misc_RNA from 1 species
GAUGAAGAACGCAGCGAAAUGCGAUAACUAAUGUGAAUUGCAGAAUUCAGUGAAUCAUCGAGUCUUUGAACGCACAUUGCGCCCGUUAGUAUUCUGACGGGCAUGCCUGUCCGAGCGUCAUUUCAACCCUCAAGCACGGCUUGGUGUUGGCGGAUUGCGUGCCCUAGCGGCGCUGCACCCGCCCAAAUACAGUGGCGGUCCCGCUGCGGCUCCCUUUGCGUAGUAACUCACCUCGCACUGGACCGGGCGGCGGCUCGCCGUAAAACCCCAACUCACGAAAUGUUGACCUCGGAUCAGGUAGGAAUACCCGCUGAACUUAAGCAUAUCAAUAAGCGGAGGA